UACCUGAGUGCAUUAGUGAUUCCUAGAGG
rnacentral:piRNA from 1 species